rnacentral:rRNA from 1 species
AGAGCGNGUACGGGUGCGGACACGUGUGCACUGCCUUUAUCUGGGGGAUAGCUUUCGAAAGGNAAGAUUAUACCCAUAAUAUGUUGAAUGGCAUCAUUCGACAUUGAAAACUCCGGUGGAUAGAGAUGGGCACGCGCAAGAUUAAUAGUUGGUGAGGUAACGGCUCACCAAGUCUACGAUCUUUAGCGGGGCCUGAGAGGGUGAUCCCCCACACUGGUACUGAGACACGGACCAGACUCCUACGGGAGGCAGCAGUGACGGAAUAUUGGACAAUGGGUGAGAGCCUGAUCCAGCCAUCCCGCGUGAAGGACGACUGCCCUAUGGGUUGUAACACUUCUUCUCUGUAUAGCGGAUAAACCUACCUCGUGAGGGUAGCUGAANGGUACUAUACGAAUAAGCACCGGCCUAACUCCGUGCCCAGCAGCCGCCGGGCUAAAUAACCGCGAAGCGGUUUGACCAACGCCCGUUUCAAUCCCCCGCGAUUCUCAUCCUAGGGUUUUCACAANACGCGGGUUUCCCCCGGGUCUCAAAAAGUCCGCGGGCCACCUGGCUGGGCAAACUUUUCCCCUCUGGGCGCUUUCACAACUCGGGCUUUCNCCA